rnacentral:rRNA from 1 species
AUGCAAGUCGCACGAGAACGUUUCAGCUUGCUGAAACUAGUAAAGUGGCGCACGGGUGAGUAACGCGUGGGUAAUCUACCUCCGAAUUGGGGAUAACAUUGCGAAAGCGAUGCUAAUACCGGAUAACAUCUCAAUAACUCCGGUCUUUGAGAUCAAAGGUGGCCUCUCCAUGGAAGCUAUUGUUUGGAGAUGAGCCCGCGUACCAUUAGCUUGUUGGUAGGGUAACGGCCUACCAAGGCUACGAUGGUUAGCUGGUCUGAGAGGAUGAUCAGCCACACUGGAACUGACACGCGGUCCAGACUCCUACGGGAGGCAGCAGUGAGGAAUUUUGCGCAAUGGGGAAACCCUGACGCAGCAACGCCGCGUGAGUGAUGAAGGCUUUCGGGUCGUAAAGCUCUGUCAAGUGAGAAGAACCUGCCCUUUGCUAAUAUCACUGGGCACUGACGGUAUCACUGAAGGAAGCACCGGCUAACUCCGUG